rnacentral:rRNA from 1 species
UUGGAAUUCUGCAGAGAUGCGGAAGUGCCUUCGGGAAUCAAGUGACAGGUGCUGCAUGGCUGUCGUCAGCUCGUGUCGUGAGAUGGUUGGGUUAAGUCCCGUAACGAGCGCAACCCUUGUCCUUUGUUGCCAGCACGUAAAGGUGGGAACUCAAAGGAGACUGCCGGUGACAAACCGGAGGAAGGUGGGGACGACGUCAAGUCAUCAUGGCCCUUACGGCCUGGGCUACACACGUGCUACAAUGGUCGGUACAGAGGGUUGCCAAGCCGCGAGGUGGAGCUAAUCCCAGAAAACCGGUCGUAGUCCGGAUCGCAGUCUGCAACUCGACUGCGUGAAGUCGGAAUCGCUAGUAAUCGCGAAUCAGAAUGUCGCGGUGAAUACGUUCCCGGGCCUUGUACACACCGCCCGUCACACCAUGGGAGUGGGUUGCAAAAGAAGUGGCUAGUCUAACCUUCGGGAGGGCGGUCACCACUUUGUGAUUCAUGACUGGGGUGAAGUCGUAACAAGGUAGGCGUAGUGCU